AACAUGCUCCCUUAGAUCCACCUUUGUGAAUGUUACUUGUGCUGAGUUCUGUUAAUUUUCAGCAGUUCCAGUCAAGGACUUUCAGCAACUUUAUUGGUUGUACAGUCAAAGGUGCUUGAGUCAUUGGCAUGUGAGAGUAAUAUACCUGCAUUUUAGCCUUCAAUGUUCUGAUAGCAGCAGCUGCAGCUCUGCUGCUUACUGUGUCUCACUAUCAGGAUUUGACUGAUUUGCAGACAUU